rnacentral:rRNA from 1 species
UACGUAUGGUGCAAGCGUUGUCCGGAAUUAUUGGGCGUAAAGAGCUUGUAGGCGGUUUGUCGCGUCUGCUGUGAAAUUUCGGGGCUCAACCCCGAACUUGCAGUGGGUACGGGCAGACUAGAGUGUGGUAGGGGAGACUGGAAUUCCUGGUGUAGCGGUGAAAUGCGCAGAUAUCAGGAGGAACACCGAUGGCGAAGGCAGGUCUCUGGGCCACUACUGACGCUGAGAAGCGAAAGCAUGGGGAGCGAACAGG